CACACCGCCCGUCACACCAUGGGAGUCGUUCGCUCCAGAAGUGCCUGCGCCAACCGCAAGGAGGCAGGGCCCCAAGGAGUGAAUGGUAACUGGGGUG
rnacentral:rRNA from 1 species